AAAUAAAUAACUAGUGUAUGACGUUUCAGUAACAACGCUGUUAAAGAAACGUCACACACUAUUGAUUUAUUU